GUGGGUAAUUGGUUGCAUUUAUGUGUGGCCUAUGUGGAUCUGGUGGCUUCUCUUGGUGCAGAAAUGAACGACAAGGAGCUCAAUCUGGCAUCAGUUGUUUUCUUUAAUUCUCCAUCUGCAUUUCACACAUGGGCACCGAGGUAAAGUCAGUCUCUGGCAUGAAAGAAGCUCCUCGACAGUGAUCCUCAUGGUUCUGAGGAUUACCCAUAAUACAGUAACCAAAAUAAAAUAAUUGAAAAUUACAGUGAUCGAAUAGUGGAUUUCUUUUACAUCAAAGCAACAAUCAGUGAUUGUCCUUUUUAAAGAAAGUAAAGCAAUUAAUUAAAAUGCUCUGAAAAAUAAAAUAAAAUGCUGACAUUUUAUUUACUAGAUGCCAUUUUUAUAUUUCAGCUUGUACAAACUUGCAUCUUGGAACAAUGCAAAAACAUUAAUUAACCAUAUCUGUAUAUAAAACUGUUAAUA